rnacentral:rRNA from 1 species
GACGAACGCUGGCGGCGUGCUUAACACAUGCAAGUCGAACGGGAAGUCCCGGCUUAGGGGGGGUGCGCUAGUUGCGACCUGGUGAGUAACACUUGGGUAACCUGUCACUGACUGUGGGAUAACUUCAGGAAACUUGGGCUAAUACCGGCUAGGAGUUCCUGCUGUAUGGUGGGGGUUGGAAAGAUUCGGCGGUUGGGGAGGGACACGCGGCUUAACAGCAUGUUGGUGGGGUAGUGUGUUACCAAGGCUUUGACGGGUAGCCGGGCUGCAAGGGUGACCGGCCACAUUGGGAAGGAGAUGAGGCACAGCCUCCUACGGGAGGGAGCAGUGGGGAAUAUUGCAUAAUGGGCGGAAGCCUGAUGCAGCACAGCAGCGUGGGGGAUGACGGGAUUCGGGUUGUAAACCGCUUUCGUCUGUGACGAAGUGUGAGUGACGGUAAUGGGUAAAGAAGCACCGGCUAACUACGUG